rnacentral:rRNA from 1 species
GAUAGAUAUUAAUUUAAAAUAUUUAAUCUAAGAAUAUAAGGGUAGAGCUUUAUCAUUCAAUAAUAAAUGAAAUAUAAGUUAAUAAGUAUUUAUUUUGAUAAUUAGGUUUUUUAGUGGCCAUAUUUUUAAAGUGUUUUAACUAAUAUAAUUGAAUAAUUUAUUUAUUAGAUUUUAUUAAAUUAAUAAUAUGUUUUUUAGAAUGGAUAAAUAUUAGAAAUAAUGAAAAUAUUAGUAGAAUUAAUAUAUGAGAAAAAAGAAAAGUAUUAAAAGUAAAAUAUGAAAAUAGUUAAGAAAAAAAUAGAGGAACUCGGCAAAUAAGGUUCUUGCCUGUUUAACAAAAACAUGUCUCUGUGAAGUUAUAUGAAGUCUGACCUGCCCAUUGAAAUUUAUUAAAAGGCCGCGGUAUAUUAACUGUGCAAAGGUAGCAUAAUUAGUAGUUUUUUAAUUGAAGGCUUGUAUGAAAGGUUGGACAAGGGAUAAGCUGUCUUUAUUUUUAUUUUUGAAUUUGUCUUUUAAGUGAAAAGACUUAAAUAAGUUUAAGGGACGAUAAGACCCUAUAAAUCUUUAUAUUAGUUUAAUUUUAUUUUAAAUUUUAAUGUUUAAAAGAGUAAAGUUAAUAUAGUAUUGUAUUGGGGUGAUAGGAAUAAUUAGUAAACUGUUCGAAGGUAUAAACAAAAAUAUUUGAUUAUAAUUAUUAGUAGAUCCUUAGUGGAGAUUACAAGUUUAAGUUACUUUAGGGAUAACAGCGUUAUUUUUUUUGAGAGUUCUAAUCGAAAAAGAAGUUUGCGACCUCGAUGUUGAAUUAAAAUUUCUUUGUGGUGUAGUAGUUACAAGAGAGAGUCUGUUCGACUUUUAAAAUUUU